rnacentral:lncRNA from 1 species
GAAGGUGUUUGCUAUUAACCCUUGCUUACCCAGCAGCCCUCAUGGGUGAGAAGAUGACAGGUCCUUACCCCUCCACCCUCAGCAGAACCCAUAUGCGGCUGUGUUCUUUUCUCUCUGCCUCGCAGGACAGGAGGAGACCCUGUGCCCCAGAAUACAAGUGGAAGCCUAGAACAUGUUUCGAAGACUCGCCAUCUUCUUUCUGGGCAAGGCACUUCACAUCAGCACUUGAGAGGCAGUGGCAGAGGACUGCCUUCAUCUCCACCUUGGAUUACAUAGUGAAUUGGCACCCAGACCCCAGACUCUCACCUUGGACCAUUGCCUAGGUAGAAAUAAGACACCAGAGAGCUCCCUGCCAUGUUCCAGGCCUUCUCAGUAGAACAAAGCUGUACAUUCCCAAGUCAUCUGUGGCAGAGGGGUCACAAAGUCUGUUUCCCUGCUGAUGAGGCAAAGAGGGCCUGGGAUCCAAGCACACAGGAGCAAGAAGCAGGAGGUUUUCAACUUUGAGGUAAGUUGAGUCUAUACACAGUGUGUUGGAGGCUAGGCUGAGAUACAUACUGAGGCCCCCAUCUCCAAACCCUACACUAGACCCUGGCUCCAAUCCCAAGAACUGCAGAGCAACAAACUAACGCCAUAAAAGGUCUGCCUUUCAGAUUCUUCUUUAGAUACCUCCCUAACAGGUGGUCAAGGGCAGUGCCAACACAAUGUGCCAUGUUCCAGGCUAUUUCCAGGCCCUGCUUUGGUUACAGGCAUCUGAGUUUUCCAACAGGUGGCAGGACCACCCGAUGUCCCCCCAUCACAAGUGGAACAGGCGCCAUGGAGAACGGGACAGAGUAUGUGCAGGCUCAUUCCGGCACAGGCUGGAAUGUACAUGGGACCCGGGGUCUGGUUUCAACUCUGCCUUUCCCCUCUACACUCCACAAGCAGCCGUUGUGUUAAUCAGGGCCAGAACUAGCCCCUACGACUCUAACAGUUACACGGUCUCUUUCAUUAUCUGACCCAAAG